GGGGCGGGGGCUUUAUACCCUCGGGGGGCGUGGCCUAAGGGAGGGGGCGUGGCUUAAUGGUCCAGGGGGCGUGGCCUUGCGGGAUGCCUCGCGGUUAGGGGGCACAGGGGGGCGUGGCCUCCGGGAAGGGGGCGUGGCCUCCGGGAAAGGGGCGUGGCCUUCGUGGCGCGCCUUCCCGUUAUAUUAAGCCCCGCCCAGUGGGCGUGGCCUGGAGGGGUCAACCUCGGUUAUGCCCGCAGGGUCCUAAUGCCCCCCCUCCCCCUCCCCAACUUCCCCAGUCCCCCCCAGUCCUCCCAGUUAGAGGCGGGCGCUCAGCACUGGUGGCACCUUUAUUGGUCCGUCCGCGGGGCCCGCUGGCCCAGGUGGCCCCACGGUGGCCACGGUCACGUCCACGGUGGUUCUGGUGGCCCCGGAUGGCCCCGCGGUGGCCACAACCGCAUCCUGCUCGCGUCCUUGGUGGCCACAAGUGGCCCCGUGGUGGCCACGCUGGCGUCCUUGGUGGCCCCGUGGUGGCCCCGCUCAUGUCCAUGGUGGCCCAGUCUGUCUCGGUGGUGGCCCUGCUCACAUCCGUGGUGGCCACAGCCGUCCCCGUGGUGGUGGCCCAGUUCAUCCUCGGUGGCCCAAACCGGCCCCAUGGUGGCCCCAGGUCACGUCUGCGGUGGCCCCGGGUCAUCCCCAUGGUGGCCCUGACUUGUCCCGUGGUGGUGGCCCUGCUCGUCCCCAUGGUGGCCACGAUCACAUCCGUGGUGGCCCCGCUCACGUCUCCGGUAGCCCUGGUGGCCCUGGCUGUCCCCAUGGUGGCCCUGGUCACGUCCACAGUGGCCUUGGUGGCCCGGAUUGUCCCCAUGGUGGCCCCGGGGCCGUCCCCAUGGUGGCCCAAAUUGUCCCCAUGGUGGCCCAAAUUGUCCCCAUGGUGGCCCAGACUGGCCCCAUGGUGGCCCCGGGGCUGUCCCCACGGUGGCCACCCCGCUGGUCUCGGUGGCCCUCCCGGCCCCGUUGGUGGCCCCGUCCCGGUUCCGUUGGUUUUUGACGCACUCGACCCAAAGUUGGUUUGGCAGAAGGGGGGGGGG
rnacentral:lncRNA from 1 species